GGAAAGGACCAGCCCUGAAUCAGAGCAGGGAGUCCGAGGCUGCAGCCACAGUCUACGCCCUCAUGGCUGAAGGGAAGCAGAUGGAUGUCCUGCCCCAGGAGACCGACCCCGGUGCCGAGGGACUCACCUGCGCCAAGCUGGACGGCCAGGUGCUGCAGGCCAAGCGGGGGGGCCCGGCCCCUGCCCCCGAGCCCGUC